GCCAGACUCCUACGGGAGGCAGCAGUGGGGAAUAUUGCACAAUGGGGGAAACCCUGAUGCAGCGACGCCGCGUGAGUGAAGAAGUAUCUCGGUACGUAAAGCUCUAUCAGCAGGGAAGAAAAAAAGUCCUUCGGACUUUGGACGGUACCUGAUUAAGAAGCCCCGGCUAACUACGUGCCAGCAGCCGCGGUAAUACGUAGGGGGCAAGCGUUAUCCGGAUUUACUGGGUGUAAAGGGAGCGUAGACGGCAGCGCAAGUCUGGAGUGAAAUGCCGGGGCCCAACCCCGGAACUGCUUUGGAAACUGUGCAGCUCGAGUGCAGGAGAGGUAAGCGGAAUUCCUAGUGUAGCGGUGAAAUGCGUAGAUAUUAGGAGGAACACCAGUGGCGAAGGCGACUAUCUGGCACAUAACUGACGCUGAGGAGCGAAAGCGUGGGUAGCAAACAGGAUUAGAUACCCGAGUAAU
rnacentral:rRNA from 1 species